UGGGGAGGACUAGGCCCAGUCUGUGCUCACU
rnacentral:piRNA from 1 species